GAAGCUACAGUGCUAAGCACUAAAACGCCGACUCCCCUCUCCUUUCCUCCCGAUCUCGUCGACGGACUCGAUCUCGACGCACGCUCGCGCCUGAUCACCGGCGCCUUGUCGCGGAUCGAGCCUCCGAGCUUCUCAACCCCUUAACAGAGGUCGCGACGGUGGAGCCUUCUUCAGAGAGCCGUAGCACGCGAAGAAUCUCCGGCCGGAAGGAACAGGUCUGAGCUCUGGAGUUGCUGAGGAAGAAUCGCCGAUCCCUAGGGCCCGAUCUUGGUGAGAAGUACUCCAAACGGUGGGUUCGAUUUCCAGAGCUCUAAAGCUGAGUUUCUCCAUCGAGAUCUCUGUGCCGGUUGAGGUGUUUCCUGUCGUGGAGGUAAAUUGAGUGGCUCACUGAGAGGGGCUCGGCCACGACUUCCAGCAGCUGGUUUGCCUCCGGGAAACAGUAGUCUCGUGGAGGCUCUGAAUGGUGAAUUUGUGGCAGUAGGCAGCACCAGCGUGCCAGCGCUGGCUACCACAUCUCUCGACAGUGAGUCGACAGUGAGGAGUUGUGGUAAGGACUUUGAUCGGGAUGAGCGUCGCGACGAGAUAGACGUCGGAUU